rnacentral:rRNA from 1 species
CCCUGCACGUUCGGGAUAAGCGUUAGGGAAACGUGGGUCUAAUACCGGAUAGGAGCCAUCUUUAGUGUGGUGGUUGGAAAGUUUUUUCGGUGUAGGAUGAGCUCGCGGCCUAUCAGCUUGUUGGUGGGGUAAUGGCCUACCAAGGCGGCGACGGGUAGCCGGCCUGAGAGGGUGUACGGCCACAUUGGGACUGAGAUACGGCCCAG